AGAGUUUGAUCCUGGCUCAGGAUGAACGCUAGCGGGAGGCCUAAUACAUGCAAGUCGAACGGUAACAUGGGUAGCAAUACCUGAUGACGAGUGGCGCACGGGUGAGUAACACGUACACAAUCUGCCUUAUACUGGGGCAUAGCCUUGGGAAACUAAGAUUAAUUCCCCAUAACAUUGCGAGAUGGCAUCAUUUUGCAAUUAAAAUUACCGGUGGUAUAAGAUGAGUGUGCGACUGAUUAGCUAGUUGGCGAGGUAACGGCUCACCAAGGCAACGAUCAGUAGCUGGUCUGAGAGGAUGAUCAGCCACACGGGCACUGAGACACGGGCACGACUCCUACGGGAGGCAGCAGUAGGGAAUAUUGGACAAUGGGCGCAAGCCUGAUCCAGCCAUCCCGCGUGAAGGAUUAAGGUCCUAUGGAUUGUAAACUUCUUUUCUCU
rnacentral:rRNA from 1 species